AUUGAACGCUGGCGGAAUGCUUUACACAUGCAAGUCGAACGGUAGAGGGGGCAACCCCUCGAGAGUGGCGAACGGGUGAGUAAUAUAUCGGAACGUGCCCAGUCGUGGGGGAUAACGUAGCGAAAGUUACGCUAAUACCGCAUAAGAUCUAAGGAUGAAAGAGGGGGAUCGCAAGACCUCGCGCGAUUGGAGCGGCCGAUAUCAGAUUAGGUAGUUGGGGGGGUAAAGGCUCACCAAGCCAACGAUCUGUAGCUGGUCUGAGAGGACGACCAGCCACACUGGAACUGAGACACGGUCCAGACUCCUACGGGAGGCAGCAGUGGGGAAUUUUGGACAAUGGACGCAAGUCUGAUCCAGCCAUUCCGCGUGCAGGGUGAAGGCCCUCGGGUUGUAAACUGCUUUUGUACGGAACGAAAAGGUCUCUCUUAAUACGGGGGGCUCAUGACGGUACCGUAAGAAUAAGCACCGGCUAACUACGUGCCAGCAGCAGCCGCAG
rnacentral:rRNA from 1 species